CUACGGGACGCUGCAGUGAGGAAUAUUGCACAAUGGGGGGAACCCUGAUGCAGCAACGCCGCGUGGAGGAUGACGCAUUUCGGUGUGUAAACUCCUUUUAUAUGUCAAGAAAAUGACGGUAGCAUAUGAAUAAGCACCGGCUAACUCCGUGCCAGCAGCCGCGGUAAUACGGAGGGUGCAAGCGUUACUCGGAAUCACUGGGCGUAAAGGACGCGUAGGCGGGUUGGAAAGUCAGGUGUGAAAUCCUACAGCUUAACUAUAGAACUGCACUUGAAACUUCUAAUCUAGAGUAUGGGAGGGGAAGAUGGAAUUAGUGGUGUAGGGGUAAAAUCCGUAGAUAUCACUAGGAAUACCUAAAGCGAAGGCGAUCUCCUGGAACAUUACUGACGCUAAGGCGUGAAAGCGUGGGGAGCAAACAGGAUUAGAUACCCGAGUAGUC
rnacentral:rRNA from 1 species